UCCGAUGUGCAACCGACCGGUUUCUAUCUCCUCGCACACAAGGUGUUUGGCAAAAUUGCCACAAGGUAAAUUUUUAGUUAAACUUGUCCAUUUUUGGUACAUCAUGACUACUUGCGUGAUCAUGCACAACAUGAUCAUUAUGAAUGAGCGUGGACAUACACCUUCUAUGACCUAAUGGGAAUGUUUGUUCUGCCGAGUAGAAGGGGAGACCGAAUUAGACGCUUCAUGCAGGUGUACCCAAACAUCAGAGAGUCCGAUACGCACGAUGAUCUUCAAAAAAAUAUUCUGAAGGGAUGGUGGACAUGGCAUACGGAGCAAGCCUCCUAGUUUCAUCUCCAUGUUUGUCGUAUUGUGCAUGAACUAUGAUGUAUUGUUUGCUGAACCUUGUUGUAUUUGUGUUGCAUUUCAUGUUGUGGAUUUCAUGAAUUAUGUUGUAGUUUGAUGUCGUGGAUUGAUGAAUUUAUUGUUAUGUUUGUUUAAGUAUUAAUUUGAGAUGAUUUUGCUUAAAAUAUGUUUGAAAUUGAUGUGUUGUUGUUG
rnacentral:lncRNA from 1 species